rnacentral:rRNA from 1 species
AUAAAAGUUCGAGGACCGAAAAGAAGGUCCCGUGGUCGGUCUGCUGCUGUUUUAGCGGCUUGCACCAGAGGGAUGCCUCCGCUCCAAUCGAUCGAGGGAUGUUUCGCGGCCUGUGGCGGUCUGGGUGGAGUAGUCCAACAGUGCCUUAUUUGUAGAUGCGUGCCGUGUGUGGUGUUUUGAUGCGAAGUGACCGUUGAGUGUGUCCCAUAGUAGUAGAGAACCCGCCGCUGCAGGGUCUGCGGCCUCCCACAGACCGAGAGAGCGUCCUUUGAGGAGGAUGGUGCCGUCGUGGUUGUAGCUGGCCUUGUGCUAAGUGUGCCACGGCGAGACUCCCCCCACUCCCUUGUUCAUGAGCACCUCGUGUUUCCUCGGCGAGUUCGCCCGCCUGAGGACCCUCGGAAACACCCCUUUUGCAGUUGCAGUUUUCUGCCUGAAUCGAACCCUUCAAAACUUUCAACAACGGAUCUCUUGGCUCUGGCAUCGAUGAAGAACGCAGCGAAAUGCGAUAAGUAGUGUGAAUUGCAGAAUUCAGUGAAUCAUCGAAUCUUUGAACGCACAUUGCGCCCACUGGUACUCCUCUGGGCAUGCCUGUUCGAGCGUCAUCUCGACCCUGUCAAGCAAGGCUUGGUGUUGGGCGCUUGCCCCCAUGAAACUAACUAACCUCUCGGAGCUUCUCCAGAGGCCUAGUAGGGGCUCGCCUUAAAAUUAUUGGCGGCGGACUGUCGGCUCGGAGCGCAGCAGAUGGCGCGCUUUAAGGCUCGUCAGUCCCGCAAGCCAGGAGCAAACCCCUCCACAGUUUGACCUCGGAUCAGGUAGGGAUACCCGCUGAACUUAGCAUUAAUAGGGGGGGGGAGAGAAAAAAGGGGACGCAA